rnacentral:rRNA from 1 species
CAGCCGCCACGGUAAUACGGAGGGUGCAAGCGUUAAUCGGAAUUACUGGGCGUAAAGCGUGCGUAGGCGGUUCGUUAAGUCUGUUGUGAAAGCCCCGGGCUCAACCUGGGAAUGGCAAUGGAUACUGGCGAGCUAGAGUGUGUCAGAGGAUGGUGGAAUUCCCGGUGUAGCGGUGAAAUGCGUAGAGAUCGGGAGGAACAUCAGUGGCGAAGGCGGCCAACUGGGACAACACUGACGCUGAGGCACGAAAGCGUGGGGAGCAAACAGGAUUAGAUACCCCCGUAGUCCAUGUCUCUUAUAC